CUCGUUAGGACACUGUUGUUCAGAGGAGCUAGCCAACAGCACAGCUAACACGAUAACUUCAAACUGGAGCUGGAAAGACUGCAAACUAGCUGCACUUCAUUUCAUUUAACCUUUUUUCAAUUGACAUUUCUUUGUAUAUAUCCAUAAAAAUUAUGCCAGCUGAUUCAUGAUUUCGACGGGCUAAGAAACGCUGCCUGCCUCUUUCGUCCCGACUCCCCACCCCUACACGUUCUUUACUAUGGGACAGUUGGAGAUUGAAUUUUGAAUAUUGAAACAAUGUUGAAAAUCUUGGAGAGACAGACAGCAAGGUUUAUACAAAUCUCUACUGUUGAAAACUAAAUGUUACUCUAAAAGAAAUGUGAGAUAAUGUCUAGACGCUUUUUACAGUGGCGAUCAAGUUGAUAACUUCUUUGCCUGGGCUGAUGAGACAGUGGAUUGCACAGUCAGAUGGAACAGAGUAAAUAGGCAUUUUAACGUCAUAGAUUUAGCCGGUGGUAACUUGUGGAACAGACACUGGCUUGAAUGCACAUAACCAAUCAGCAUUCAAGAUUAGACCCACCCGUUGUAUGAUGACUUAACAAAACUCUCAAGAAGAGAGACUCCUUUUUUCUGUCCGGCAACAGCUUGAACAUGCACAACGGACGUAUAUAUUUCUCUCUCUAUCAAAACACUACAAAUAUUGUUUAAGAGACCCUUUGAAGCUUGAUCAGUCAGCUGAGAGAAGAAGAGAGGAGAAGAGCAAAAGAAGAAAGAGGAGAAGAGGAAAACACAGGGAGAUAAGAAGAGGUAGAGGGAAAGAGAGGGAGAUAAGAAGAGAGGAGAAGAGGAAAAGACAGGGAGAUAAGAAGAAAGAGAGAAGAGGAAAAGAAGAAAGAGGAGAAGAGGAAAAGACAGUGAGAGGAGAAGAAAGAGAGAAGAGGAAAAGACAGGGAGAGAAGAAGAGGUAGAGGAAAAGACAGGGAGAGAAGAAGAGGUAGAGGAAAAGACAGGGAGAGAAGAAGAAAGAGAGGAG
rnacentral:lncRNA from 1 species